ensembl:lncRNA
CCCUUUUCUUCCGUUUUCAAAAUAAUUUUUUGGCCUGAAUCAAACUUUUUGGUCACGACUACCUUGAUAAACGAUUGGCUUUGUAUAACGUCCAUGGAGAAAAUGUAUGGCAAAUUUACUUCCGGAACCAGAGCUGUUCAAAAAGGGGUUGAGUGCUCAAGAGGACGGAUGUGGUGUCAAUAUUUCGGAAAGGGGAAGCACAUUAACGUUUGCUCAAAAGGUCAUGUUCAUUUCCUUUUGUUGGUUAUUCCAUUACAAAGAGACUUCUGUGAAGAUAACACCAAGGCAUGACAAUCCUUGGCAUUAAUGAGGGGGCCGUGCUGAUGCUUGUGUCUUCAGCCUCACUCAGCAUGCUAUGUCUUCUGUGUCUCAAGUGCAAAAAGAAAUCCAACUCUUCUCUCUUGCAGAAAUCAUCCAACAGGAUUCCUCGAUAUAUGACCCUCAGAUAUUCCAACGUGAAGGCAGCCGAUUUGCUGUCACACGCUCAAAGACAGUAACGCGGCCCAAUCAAAUGAAAACACAGAACCAAGAGGAAACUGAAGUGAGACAUUCCCAUAUCUCUCAAUCUGCAAAUGAAGAUUACACAUUUGUCAUUGGUGACCAAGAGGGCUUUGACGCUACAUAUGUCUCCCCACUUCCAAUUGCAGUGUAUGGAAACAUUGAGGAAAUGAAACAAGCAGCAUCUGCUUCCAAUUUAUGUGACUAUGAAAAUAUUUUGACUGCUUCAUCGAUCAACGAUGAUGAGGAUUAUGAAAACUCUGAAUUCUUAAAAAACGUUGAGGAUUUAACAGAUGACCCAGACUAUGUGAAUACCCAACAGGGUGCUUGCUGAUAUGAACACCACCAGAUAGAGGAGGAAUUCUCAUGGCUCAAUAAGCAGGAGGAGCCAAACAUAGUCUCUGCUAUUCAUAGCAGAGACCUGUGUUAAUGACAGAGAGCCUCACCGGUCAAACUCCAAUGAAAAAGGCUUACAAGAAAAGUAAAAAUAAUAAUAAAUAUUCAAUAUUUAUCUAUGAUCUUUGUAACAAAUGUAUCUUUGUAUGAUUCAUUUCAGAAAAAAAGGUGUUCCAAGAAGUGAGAAAAUCUUAACUUUUUCUGAUAUGCCAUUAGAAGAUACAUCUGUUAAUAAAUAUUUAGGAUUUCCAUUCGAUGAAUUUAUGAAUUAUGAAAAUGGAAUUAAACUCCUGGCUGAUUCAGCUGGUAGAGCUUUGGUUCCGUUGUUAACAAGUUAAAAAUAGGUAAAGACCUUGGUUAUUCUACUUACUCUCAAUUUUAUGAUGCAUGUGUUUCUCCAAUUGUGAAUUAUGCUGCUGGGGUAUGGGGAUUUAAAGAAAGAAAGAUCUCAGAUGCAGUACAAAACAGAGCAAUACGUUGUUUUCUGGGUAUUCAUAUAUAUGUUCCCUCUUUGGCUCUUUUGGGUUGGAUUCCUGCUACAAUAAGGAGAAAGGUUGAUAUGAUUAGACUGUGGAAUCGUUGUGUUAAUAUGUCCGAUGACAGGAUCAAUAAGAAAGUUUUCCUUUGGAGUAAAGUCCAGAACUCUCCAUGGGCCGCAGAGAUUCAUGCUGUCUUUGAAGAAGCCGAAUUUCAGUAUAUCUAUAGAAAUAAUUGAUCAUGCAGCAUAAACAAAAUGAGAAAAAAGUUACUUGUCGGGUACAAUGAAAAAUGGUUAAAUGAUAUAAUGUUAAAACCGAAAUUACGGACAUACAUCCAAAUCAAGCAUAAUUAUGAAACAGAAUUAUAUGUUAAAACAAAUUUACCAAUAAAUCAGAGAUCCUAGAUUGCCCAAUUAAGAAUGGGAAUCCUUCCCCUGGCACUUGAGGUCGGCAGAUUUAAAAAUAUCCCAGAGGAACAGAGACUUUGUGAACUUUGUGAUUUACAAGAAGUGGAUAAUGAAUCUCAUUUUCAUUUAUACUGUCCCUUCUGUGAUGAACUAAGAGUACCUUUUGUAAAUGAACUGUUUGCUCAAAACCCUGAAAUAUUUUGGAGUAAUGAUGUCAGGAUGGAAUGUUUGUUUACCUUUAAUGUUUAUAAGUUAGCCUCUUUUGUUACUAAAGCCUGGAUGAAACGUCAGGAUGGUUAAUAUCGUUAAUGUUAGUAUUGUUAAGCAUCUAUGUUUUAUGUUAAGCAUGUUUUAUGAUGGUGUCUUGUAAGCCCUUGUGGGCUGGGCAUGCUAAUGCAUGAAACAAUAAAAAAAAAUAAAAAAAUAAAAAAUGCAAUCAUUUUUAAUAGUCAAAUUUGAGAAAUGUGCAGAGCUCCAAUGCUAAUACAGAAGAAAUGAUUCAGCGGUGAGCUCAGCCUCCCCUCUGAUUCGCAGUGGAGUGGGGCGAUAGGCGCCUGCCUGUCACUCUCUUUCUGUAGGUCAACAAUGUUGGGCUGGUGGACCCCGUCAUUACUUGUCCUCGCUUUCCAUAUUCCAGGUAAUUUAUGCCAUGUGUGUAUUAUAUAUUCAGGCUCGCUGACCUCUUCAUGGGCUGUGGAGCCCAUGAUAAACCAUGAAAGACCAAUGCUGAGCUUGAGGAAAUACUUCCAACUCAUUUUUCACUGUUGCAUGAGUAGUAUGAGUAGUGGAACUACAUUUGCAUAUAAAACAUGAAUCUAAUACGUAAUUUGCCUGUACGCGUGAUUUUUUUAAAGAAGGCUAAUAUGAAAUAUGUAAUUCAUGGUCACCUGACCAAAAGUCUUUGUGCAACUUUGUGUGUAAAUCUGGUUCUAAUACUAUCAAGUGGCUGCCCAGCCAUUGACC